rnacentral:lncRNA from 10 species
CAGCAUUCUGAGUAGCUGGGAUCACAGGUGCUCCCCAUCACACCCUGCUAAUUUAAUUUUCUUUGUAGAGACAGGGUCUUGCUAUGUUGCCUAGGCUGGUCUUGAACUCCUGGGCUCAAGUGAUCCUCCCGCCUCAGCCUCCCAGUGUUAGGAUUACAGGAGUGAGCCACUGCCUCUGCCUUCAGGUAGCAAUUUUAUUAGCAAACUAUAAGCCUAAAGUAAUAGUUAAAAUUCUCACUGUGAUAUUCAUUACUAACCCCUGAACCUGUACCCUUCAGCUUACCACUACAGUACUUCUGUAGUAGAGCGAGUAUGGGUUUUGGUAUCAGACAGGUCCAAAUUUGAAUUCUGGUUCUACCUUUCAUUUAUCAAAUGACUUUGGGCAAAGUACUUAACCUCUCUGAGCUUUAGUUCCCUUCUCUGUAAAAGAAUAAAAUAUUUCAGUCUUAUCGUGUAGAUGAUAUACAGAGGGCACAUAACAAAUGUUAGAUCUCUCAAAUGUUUUUCUGUAACCCAAAUAUGCUUACAACUGAUUAAAGAAUGUUCUCACU